UCGGCUUCUCAAGCGCCUGCCAAGGACAGCCAGCGGUGCUGCCACCGCCCUCCUUCAGUGGAUCGGCCCUUGGAGGCUCUUGGGGAGCCGA
rnacentral:ncRNA from 1 species